UACGUAGGGGGCUAGCGUUGUUCGGAUUCAUUGGGCGUAAAGGGUGCGUAGGUGGCGCUGUAAGUCGGGUGUGAAAUCCUGAGGCUUAACCUCGGAACUGCAUUCGAUACUGCGGCGCUUGAGGACUGGAGAGGAGACUGGAAUUCAUGGUGUAGCAGUGAAAUGCGUAGAGAUCAUGAGGAAGACCAGUGGCGAAGGCGGGUCUCUGGACAGUUCCUGACACUGAGGCACGAAGGCCAGGGGAGCAAACGGG
rnacentral:rRNA from 1 species